GGGGUGCAACACGAGGACUUCCCAGGAGGUCACCCAUCCUAGUACUACUCUCGCCCAAGCACGCUUGACUGCGGAGUUCUGAUGGGAUCCGGUGCAUUAGUACUGGUAUGAUCGCACCC
rnacentral:rRNA from 1 species